GGUUUGUCUAAGGCGGGGAGAAAUUACUUGGGAUAAUUUUCGUCGUGCAAUUCGAGGACAGAUCUCUUUUACUGUCUGUUUAACACGAAGAACAGACUGACGAUUUAUGAGUACUGGAAUUGAUCCAGAAUUCGAAGCUGACCCAGAGAUCGAGCGUACAUUUCGCGCAAGGGCACGCUAGAACAGAGCAAGGCAUAGAAGAAUGAAUAUGGCAGAAAACAACAACAAUGAUAAUGUGGCACCCGAAGUAAAUCAAGGGGUGGGCCGGCCAGCGUAAGAUCCCAUUUUUCUUGUCGCUGACUGCAACAUCCCAAUGAGGAACUAUGCGGCGCCCAACCUCUAUGACUUCUCGCCUGGAAUUUCACGUCUGAUAGUUGAAGAGAACGCACGUUUCGAGAUUAAGUCGGUCAUGCUUCAAAUCAUUUAGAAUACGGGGCAGUUCGGUGGUCUACAAGGUGAGGACCCACAUGCCCAUCUGACCAGUUUUGUCGAGAUGUGCGGUAACUUCUCCAUCCCUAGCGUAACCCCAGAAGGUAUCAGACUUUACCUCUUCCCAUACACCUUGAGGGAUGAGGGUAAGAGGUGGGCUCGUUCGUUGGAGCCAAAUGAAAUAAUUUCCUGGGAUCAGUUGGUGGAACGAUUUAUGAAGAAGUUCUUCCCUCUGGCAGUCAACGCAAGAAGACGAAAGGACGUGCUAAACUUUGAGCAGAUGGAUAACGAGACCCUAAGCACCGCCUAGGUGCAAUUUAGAAGAUUGGUGAAGAAUUGUCCGCAUAUCAAGAUACCCGAUUGUGUUCUGAUGGAAAUGUUUUACAACGGCCUGAACAGAUCAAUGUAAGUCGUUGUUGAUGCCUCCGCUGCGGAGGAUUUAUGGAUAAAACAUACACUAAAGCCAAGGUCAUCCUUGACUGCAUCUCGCGGAAUAUGGAUGACUGGGUACAUGACGGGUACGGAGGAAGAGGCUCUGAGAGGAGAAGAAAUGAUAAUGCCAUUGUACCUGUGGAUACAAUGACAACUUUGGCCGUACAGAUGGCCACGGUGACCUCUCUUCUACAAUCGAUGGCAUUUAAUCAAAGUGCCCUCUCCCAAGGAUCAGCACAAUCCAAUGCGCUGGCACAAGUGGCCGUAAUAAGUUGCGUCCAAUGUGGAGGGGGCCAUGUAGUGGAAAUGUGCCCAUCAAACCCGCAGCAAGUGUGUGCUAUCUAGAAUAAUCCGUACAGCAACACUUACAAUCCUUGUUGGAGGAAUCACCCUAACUUCGGUUGGGGAGGAAACCAUAACCAAGGAGGGCCGAGUAACCAUCAGAACAACAACUCCGGGAAUAGAGGAUACCCUCCACCUUUUCACCAAAACCAGAAUCAAGAGCAUCAGAGACAACCGCAAAACCAACCAUCCUCCUCAAACACCUCUGGUAAUUCAUUGGAGUCCCUGCUCAAGCAAUAUAUUGAGAAAAACGAUGUUGUAAUGCAAUCGCAGGCGUCUUCAAUCAGAAACUUGGAGAUCCAAGUUGGGCAACUGGCAGCCGAACUACGUAAUAGAACACCUGGUACUCUGCCAAGCAAUAACGAAGCCCCAGGAUCUCAUGCGAAGGAACAAUGUCCUUGACGAUAUUGUGCAGGCAAGCUUAACUGCCUGUAGAGGUAUGGAUUGCAUUCUUCAUGGGAAAAUGUCUUCCGGUCCAUAUCUCUAAAUUCUAUGUUUAAAUGCUUUCUUAAUUACCUUCUUUAUUACUUUAUGGAUCUUGUUAUUUAAUGCUUUCUUAGAUUUGCUUUUAUUGUUUAUGAAAUUAUCUCUCAUUUAAUUCA